rnacentral:lncRNA from 1 species
CAUCAUUUAAAAGGUUUUAUUUUUAAUUGUAAUUAGUCAAGGUAAACUUGAUCUACUUCUGCUUGCAGGGAACCUACUGGAACUGUUCCCACUGAGUUCAGUGAAUGCAAGAUCAGACUUGCCUGGCUGGCUGUUGCAGAGAGCUGUUGUUUCUGAUGAGACUUCCUGGUCAGGUGAUUUUAUUUGAGAUGAAAUCUGUAAUUUCCAAUCAUUUUUCCAUUCGAAUCUAUUAAUUUGCUGUGGCAAAGUUCCUGAGUAACCUCUGCCGACUGACUGACCCCCUCUGACUUUUGACCAAAUGUUCAAAUAGUUUUCCUAUUAGCAAUAGCCAGACACAGAGUUUUGGAUGGAACUUUGUAACAAGGAUUAUGUUUUGGCUUUUUAUUUGCAUGGUCUAAUUUCCCCCCUCAAAGACUGUUUCUAAUUCUCUUGAGAUUUCUCUCUUAUGAGAAAAAAAAAGUAGCACAGAAGAUGAAUUGCCAUAUAGUCAACGAAACAUUUUGGCUGCAAUCUGCUACCAGAAGUUCUUCCUGAGUCUCUGAGAACAUACCCUGUGACAGAGGAGAGAAAAUGAAGAACCUCAAGGAAAGAUGGAUAAAAUUCCUCUUCUUCCAGGGUCAGUCUUGCCUGUGGAAAGUUCCUGUGCAGAGCAGGAUCCUUGGCAAGAAUUCACCUCCCCCAGAAUGCAGCAAGUCUGGCUGCUUGUGCAGGGGAAGGUGCCAAAGGAGCCUGUGCACAGCUUGGGUCACAAGCUUCCCUCAGAGCAGCUGCUGUUGCUGUGCUGCUGCUGCAGAGCCAUGGUGUGUGGUGGAGCAUGGUGAGCUGGCUGCCUGUGGGGACAGCAGCCCAGGCAGGGCACACCAAGGGUCAUGUCUUAAAGGUCACCUUCUUUGGCUGCCUGCAAUGUCCCAACAGCAGGGAAGGAGUUGAUUAAUUAUAAUGAUUCAGAAAGCCAUUGCAGUGAUUCAGAAAGAGCUGCAGUCAUAAAGAGCAUAAGAGUUAUGUUGAAAUUAAAUUUUAAAGACUAAUUCCAGGAAAGAGCUAAUUUUUGACUGGUCAAAAUUCCUGGUACUGGUCUGGCUGUAUCUUGUAUGACAGCAAAGGGCAGGGGUUAAAGGUCUCUGGUUAGCAUAAAAUGUUAUUUUUCUUGUAAUUCUGAUCUGAUAACUCUUCUCGUUUCCAGUGAUGUUAAUGAUUCCUUAGAAAGUUAAGAAAUAUAUUUAUUUCUUAAAUAAACACAGUAGCAGAAAAUCA